rnacentral:rRNA from 1 species
AUUGAACGCUGGCGGCAUGCCUUACACAUGCAAGUCGAACGGCAGCACGGACUUCGGUCUGGUGGCGAGUGGCGAACGGGUGAGUAAUGUAUCGGAACGUACCUUUCAGUGGGGGAUAACGUAGCGAAAGUUACGCUAAUACCGCAUAUUCUGUGAGCAGGAAAGCAGGGGAUCGCAAGACCUUGCGCUGAUUGAGCGGCCGAUAUCAGAUUAGCGAGUUGGUGAGGUAAAGGCUCACCAAGGCGACGAUCUGUAGCGGGUCUGAGAGGAUGAUCCGCCACACUGGAACUGAGACACGGUCCAGACUCCUACGGGAGGCAGCAGUGGGGAAUUUUGGACAAUGGGGGCAACCCUGAUCCAGCCAUGCCGCGUGAGUGAAGAAGGCCUUCGGGUUGUAAAGCUCUUUCGGCCGGGAAGAAAUCGCAUAGGUUAAUACCCUGUGUGGAUGACGGUACCGGAAUAAGAAGCACCGGCUAACUACGUGCCAGCCGCCGCAGUAAGAC